rnacentral:rRNA from 1 species
AUUGAACGCUGGCGGCAUGCUUUACACAUGCAAGUCGAACGGCAGCACGGGUGCUUGCACCUGGUGGCGAGUGGCGAACGGGUGAGUAAUGCAUCGGAACGUGCCCAUGAGUGGGGGAUAGCCCGGCGAAAGCCGGAUUAAUACCGCAUACGCCCUUAGGGGGAAAGCGGGGGAUCUUCGGACCUCGCGCUAUUGGAGCGGCCGAUGUCGGAUUAGCUAGUAGGUGAGGUAAAGGCUCACCUAGGCGACGAUCCGUAGCUGGUCUGAGAGGAUGAUCAGCCACACUGGGACUGAGACACGGCCCAGACUCCUACGGGAGGCAGCAGUGGGGAAUUUUGGGGCAAUGGGCGCAAGCCUGAUCCAGCCAUGCCGCGUGAGUGAAGAAGGCCUCGG